ACGCACGCUGGCGGCGUGCUUCACCCAUGCAAGUCGAACGGAAAGGCCCUGCUUGCCGGGUGCUCGAGUGGCGAACGGGUGAGUAACACGUGGGUGAUCUGCCCCUUACUUUGGGAUAAGCCUGGGAAACUGGGUCUAAUACUGGAUAGGACCAUGCUGUAGGUGGUGUGGUGGAAAGAUUAGUUUCGGUAAGGGAUGAGCUCGCGGCCUAUCAGCUUGUUGGUGGGGUAAUGGCCUACCAAGGCGUCGACGGGUAGCCGGCCUGAGAGGGUGGACGGCCACAUUGGGACUGAGAUACGGCCCAGACUCCUACGGGAGGCAGCAGUGGGGAAUAUUGCACAAUGGGCGCAAGCCUGAUGCAGCGACGCCGCGUGGGGGAUGACGGCCUUCGGGUUGUAAACUCCUUUCAGCCAUGACGAAGCCCUUGUGGUGACGGUAGUGGUAGAAGAAGCACCGGCUAACUACGUG
rnacentral:rRNA from 1 species